CUCCGGCCCGAUCCUCCCACCCUUUGUGUACCUACCUCUGUUGCUUUGGCGGGCCGCGGUCCUCCGCGGCCGGCCCCCCUCCCCGGGGGGUGGCCAGCGCCCGCCAGAGGACCAUCAAACUCCAGUCAGUAAACGAUGCAGUCUGAAAAACAUUUAAUAAACUAAAACUUUCAACAACGGAUCUCUUGGUUCUGGCAUCGAUGAAGAACGCAGCGAAAUGCGAUAAGUAAUGUGAAUUGCAGAAUUCAGUGAAUCAUCGAAUCUUUGAACGCACAUUGCGCCCUUUGGUAUUCCGAAGGGCAUGCCUGUUCGAGCGUCAUUACAACCCUCAAGCUCUGCUUGGUAUUGGGCACCGUCCUUUGCGGGCGCGCCUCAAAGACCUCGGCGGUGGCGUCUUGCCUCAAGCGUAGUAGAACAUACAUCUCGCUUCGGAGCGCAGGGCGUCGCCCGCCGGACGAACCUUCUGAACUUUUCUCAAGGUUGACCUCGGAUCAGGUAGGGAUACCCGCUGAACUUAA
rnacentral:rRNA from 1 species